rnacentral:misc_RNA from 1 species
GAAAUGCGAUAAGUAAUGUGAAUUGCAGAAUUCAGUGAAUCAUCGAAUCUUUGAACGCACCUUGCGCUCCUUGGUAUUCCUUGGAGCAUGCCUGUUUGAGUAUCAUGAAAUCUUCAAAGUAAAUCUUUUGUUAACUCAAUUGGUUUCUACUUUGGUAUUGGAGGUCUUUGCAGCUUCACACCUGCUCCUCUUUGUUCAUUAGCUGGAUCUCAGUGUUAUGCUUGGUUCCACUCGGCGUGAUAAGUUAUCUAUCGCUGAGGACACUGUAAAAGGUGGCCAAGGUAAAUGCAGAUGAAACGCUGCUAAUAGUCCAUUGACUUGGACAAUACUUUUAUGAUCUGAUCUCAAAUCAGGUAGGACUACCCGCUGAACUUAAGC